GUAUUAGGCAACAACCUUUCCUCCUCGCUGAAAGUGCUUUACAACCCGAAGGCCUUCUUCACACACGCGGCAUGGCUGCAUCAGGGUUUCCCCCAUUGUGCAAUAUUCCCCACUGCUGCCUCCCGUAGGAGUCUGGACCGUGUCUCAGUUCCAGUGUGGCUGAUCAUCCUCUCAGACCAGCUAGGGAUCGUCGCCUUGGUGAGCCAUUACCUCACCAACUAGCUAAUCCCACCUGGGCAUAUCCAAUCGCGCAAGGCCCGAAGGUCCCCUGCUUUCCCCCGUAGGGCGUAUGCGGUAUUAGCAGUCGUUUCCAACUGUUAUCCCCCUCGACUGGGCAAUUUCCCAGGCAUUACUCACCCGUCCGCCGCUCGCCGGCAAAAGUAGCAAGCUACUUUCCCGCUGCCGCUCGACUUGCAUGUGUUAGGCCUGCCGCCAGCG
rnacentral:rRNA from 1 species